GUUUCUCGUACCCAUGUCAGCAGCCAUGGCUGCCAUCGUUGCCAACACGGAUAGAAGAAAAGAAGAAAAAAGAGGCAAUCCACUGUAUUUGAGAUGUCAUCUGCAAGUCAUAUGUCAUUUUCCUAUCUAUCUACAUAAUGGAUCCUUAAUGGAAGGAACUCAUUUUAUGCAGAGCAACAGUUGCAUUCAAGACCUUGCUGCUUUCCAAGUUUCCAUACCUUGUAACACAACUUGGUGAGGACUGUUAAAGAGAAACACUUGUCAACAAGUAUUGUGUCAUAGCAAUAGGGAAUGGUUAUUCAGUCCAGUAUCGAUGGAAGGCAAUACUGGGAAUUUCCUCUCCAACGAGAAGCAAUCAUUAGAGGUUUCUACAUCUGACAAUGAAGUAAAAAUGCUUACAGAAAACAGUGGAAGCACUUCUGUAUUUGUCAAUCAUGGAAUGUUGUGGUUUUUAAAGUAAUAAAGAGACAAAAAUUUUCGUGCAUCUAUUAUUAAACUAACUCUUUUCUUUUAGUGGGGAGGAUGCUGAAUGUGGGGUUAUGGAGUAUGAUAUGGCUGAAUGUGUUGUGUAGCUGCAAUUGCUUGGCAACAAAAUAGAAAAGAAUGGAUUGGUGAUCAAAGUCAAAGGUCAAAAAGAAUACAGAAGGAUCCAAUUAUAAGCUGGUCGACAACUUAUGAGGAUUUGCUCUCUACUUAUGAGCCUUUUUCGGAGCCCAUUCCAUUAACUGUAAGGACCUCCAAUACACAUACUCUUAGUUAGACCAGAUUUUGGUAUAUUUUGUGCAAUUUUUUAAAUAGUGGCCCCUCUCUCGCUCUCUCUCUCUCUCUCUCUAGAAUAGGAGUGUUUAAAAUGAAAAUAAUUGGCAUUUUGUUUCCCUAGAACAUUUAUGUUGCAUUUGGAUCUUUCAUUUGUAGAGGAGUUUAUGAACAGAAAAGAAAUGGGAACAGGAAAGUGAAUAAAACAGAAGUUCAGUUUUUUUUUUUUUCUUUUUUCUUUUCACUUUUUCCUCCAUAAAUCCAAGAUCCAAAUACAAUCUUGUUCUUUUAGAUUUACUAUUAUUCUCCUGAGACUGCAAACUGGUAUAUUUAGCUACUGUACAUUGAUUUUUAG